rnacentral:rRNA from 1 species
AGAGUUUGAUCCUGGCUCAGGACGAACGCUGGCGGCGCGCCUAACACAUGCAAGUCGAACGAGCGAGAGAGAGCUUGCUUUCUCGAGCGAGUGGCGAACGGGUGAGUAACGCGUGAGGAACCUGCCUCAAAGAGGGGGACAACAGUUGGAAACGACUGCUAAUACCGCAUAAGCCCACGACCCGGCAUCGGGUAGAGGGAAAAGGAGCAAUCCGCUUUGAGAUGGCCUCGCGUCCGAUUAGCUAGUUGGUGAGGUAACGGCCCACCAAGGCGACGAUCGGUAGCCGGACUGAGAGGUUGAACGGCCACAUUGGGACUGAGACACGGCCCAGACUCCUACGGGAGGCAGCAGUGGGGAAUAUUGCACAAUGGGGGAAACCCUGAUGCAGCGACGCCGCGUGGAGGAAGAAGGUCUUCGGAUUGUAAACUCCUGUUGUUGAGGAAGAUAAUGACGGUACUCAACAAGGAAGUGACGGCUAACUACGUGCCAGCAGCCGCGGUAAAACGUAGGUCACAAGCGUUGUCCGGAAUUACUGGGUGUAAAGGGAGCGCAGGCGGGAAGACAAGUUGGAAGUGAAAUCCAUGGGCUCAACCCAUGAACUGCUUUCAAAACUGUUUUUCUUGAGUAGUGCAGAGGUAGGCGGAAUUCCCGGUGUAGCGGUGGAAUGCGUAGAUAUCGGGAGGAACACCAGUGGCGAAGGCGGCCUACUGGGCACCAACUGACGCUGAGGCUCGAAAGUGUGGGUAGCAAACAGGAUUAGAUACCCUGGUAGUCCACACUGUAAACGAUGAUUACUAGGUGUUGGAGGAUUGACCCCUUCAGUGCCGCAGUUAACACAAUAAGUAAUCCACCUGGGGAGUACGACCGCAAGGUUGAAACUCAAAGGAAUUGACGGGGGCCCGCACAA